UGUUCUCAAUGUGUUCUUCAAUACAGUUUUAGUGGAUUCGUUUCACCUCCCUCUCUUUCUCCUUCUUUAUAAACCACUUUGUAUUUACUUGCUUCCAUUCAAUCCCGAAAACUCCUCUGAAUUUUUUUUUAUCAGAAAGGCAGAUAGAGGAUCGUUGGUUGUGCGGCUGUGCGAUUGACAUCAAAAUUCACGAGUUUGACGUUGCAAAGCUUUCAUCCAAAGUUUGGCUUAUUGACUUCCUCCACAAUGUCAUCCUGCAAAAGUAUAUCAACAAUCAAACAAUCAAAAAGGGACAAAACAAAUUCUGACAUCAGUUUUUUUUCUUCAGUUUCAACAAUUACGUGUACUUGCUGCUUCUAUGUAUUAAAUAGAUUAGAGUCAGAAGCUCUGGUUUUGAGCUUUUUGUUUACUGAGAAGUAUGGAGUUUCUUCUGUAUAGGUCAGAGGAAUUGAAGAAAGAGGAAUUGAUAUGUCUAUGAUAUCUGAAUAGAUGGAGCUAGAGGCUAUUAAUUCAAGUUCUCAGCUAAACCAUAUGGUGCUUCCUGGGUUCUUUACUUGAAUCAAAAACCCUCAAAUAGCAAUGCUGAACUGUAUGAUUUUCUUUCGAUUGCUUCUGUGUUCAUUUUGACAAAAUAUUCAGCAGAAUGGAGGCAACCACCACUGCUUAUCCUGCAUUUUUAGAGGGAACUGUCGCUCAGGGUUCAUCGCUCAAAGCCGUGUCAACCGAUAUGAAUGUGGGAGCAUGUACACUCUGACAUACUUCUUU